CCUCCAGUUCCCAAAUCAUCCUCCCAACCCUGCCCUAGACUUGCUCCACUAAAGAAAGGAUCACCUCACUUAACCUUUUGCCUGCACAAGCAUUGAAUAAACACUCUGAAGCACAGCCAUCAUUAUACACUGUCUAGUUGUUAGUUGUAGGAUUAUUUUUUUGUAAGAAUUCAGUAAAUUAACUCAGUAUUAUCAGUGUUGCAGAAAAGCUAUACAAGGAGAAUAAGAAGAACACACUUAAAAGGUACAAAGCAGUAAACAGGCAUUAGUUAAGAGCUAUCACAAAAGAGAAAUGUGAAAAUUUUCUUUCCUUUACAGUGAUGAAGAUCUGUCCUUGCUGUUUUCUCUGUGAUUUCCGAAGGUAAAUACUAUACUGAUUGUUCUUUUUGCUG